rnacentral:misc_RNA from 1 species
UUGCAGCACCGUUCGGUGAAAGCCGGUCACGCAGCGACAGCUGUGCGGAUGAUCUGACGUCAAGAGAGAUCCGACCGUUGGCCACAAUGAGCACGGUCUUUUCGCUUCGCUCGCUCGGCUGCCUGCUCGUUUCUCGCGUGCGUUGACGUCCCCAUUCAAUGGUUCACCUCCGAAAAUUUAGCUGAUUGCACGACAGUGAAUCCUCUGAGCUUGGCGACAUCAACAGCUGGCCUCUAAAUGGCAACGAGCCUCCGUAGAAGCAAGACGGAACGCAUUCAGCACCUAGCUUCAGGACACAGCAUCGCCUUUGAAAGGAAUGGGCUUCCAAGUGACGAUGAGACCGUAGUGUACUGCAUGGAUUGCUCAAGUGGGGCAGCUUUGAGCCCUUGGUCUGAGCAUACAGUGCCUACUGCCACUUCCUCAUGGGAUGAGGACUUCAACACUGGUGCUACAGCCCAAGUUCAACAAACCCUUGAAGCCAUAGACAAUUAUUUGUACGAAGAAAGUGAUAAUGAACCUGGAAGUUCUGCCUUGAAUGAUGAGCUCAAGCUGGAGUGUGAGCGAUGGAAACAACAGUUUCCGCAUUUACGUGUGACUGGAAGGAGGCUUGCCUAUCCGCCGGCAGCUGUUGCUAAAAGUAUCAUUAUGAAUGGUGGUUCUACCUCAACAGAAAGCAAGUGCGACUCGGAGGCAAGCUGGUCGGCAGAGGACGAGGUGCUAAAGAAAAAAGUUAUAGAUCAUCUCUGUGCCAUUUUUUGGCCUGAGGUUCAGCUUUGGCUAGAGUUGUCACACCAGCAUCCUGGCCAUGACCACCUAAAUCUAAGGUACUCGGACUGGGACUUCGACAAGGAGGUACACAAUUGCCAGCAGAGCUUGGAAGGAGUGUUGACAGUGACCCCAAAGCUCCUAAGGGAUCGUUUCUCUGAAAGAGCCUGCUCUUCCACAACUUUUUCCUCAAGGUCAAGCACUGCACAAUCGAUGCUCAGGCAGGGCUCCAGGCAACAGUGGUCAUGUGAGAAACAGCACUGGCAGCAUCAACCACCAGUGGCUUCCAGGUGCACAUCAAGGCCACGGCCCUUACUGCCACCAUUAAGCUCUGGCAGUAAUGGCAGUAGCUCCAGCAAAGUACCUAUGUCUUCUCUGUCCAGCCGAUCUGACAGGACAAGUAGUGGAUCUUCAAUGUCCAAACUGCCCCCCAUCGACCCUGCCUCUCUUCAGUCUAUGUAUGUAGAAGGACAUCGAAUCAAUGUGUCCGAGCGACCUUUGUCCCGAAGUGUGAAUAGCUGUUGUCGCAGGCCCAGGGCGGAGAAAUAAUGCCCACAGGGUCAUUCUGUUGCCUGCCUUUGUUACCUAUUACUGUACCUCAAAAUAUGCCAGCACUUUCAGAAGAAUGUUUGUUUAGGAAAAAGAGCGGUGUACUUUAGCAUUGUGCCAAAUCUGUACAGAUGUUAAAUGGAAGUGGUGUAUGCUUCAGAACAGCUGUCUCAAAAAAAAAAAAAAAACACAUUCUUAGCUCACUUUGUUUUGUUUUGUUCCAAGGUGAGCUGAUUUUGUAUACCAAGUUUUGUUCAAAGUACCAUUGUGCAUGUUCAUCCUGCUGUGUGUUGCAUUCUGCUGAAAUUGCAGGGAACAGCAUGUUAGUGCUCGAAAGCCUUCAUGGUCCUGACUCUGCUCUUUCCUUCUCCCCAGUGUCUGUGGAAUCUCCUUGCUAGUUCAUGCUAGAAGUUUUACUCUUUACAGAAAUGCAAAGCUUUUGUAAUUCUUUUAAAAAUUAGCUGCAUGGUUGAUUGUGCUUGCUUAGUGAACUAUUCUUUUGAGAACAUGUGCACUUAGUGAUAUGCAUCUGCCUUUCUCCUUUUUUCGGUGUUUGUGUGUUUAGCUCUUUAAUAUAUGGCUUUCGCAUGUAGUGUGAAUAAAUGGUGGUUCUGCUUGUCUCAACUGACUUGUAACUGUGUUGCAUGUCAUUUUUUUAUGACUGUGAUUCACUUAGUCUUACCCUUUGUGAGUGCUUAUUGAAAUGAUUGCUGCCCCUACUUUGGACCCAACGAAGUGCAGUUGCAGGUAAUGACAUUCAAAGGUACUCGGAAUGUAUAGAGCCUUUUUGAUGAAUCUCCCCAACGUCUUCCAGUUUUGCUGCUGCUGUUGACCAUGCUAAUAUAGUUUCAUUUGUGGUCCUACCCAUUUUGUUACCAAGUGCCAAAGAGGGAUAAAUGUCUCCCCCUUUGGCAUUUGUGAUAACUGUAAUUACUCUUUUAAUGCUUGUUAAUGCUUUUUGUUACAAUGUAAUUACUGUUUUUGCACACAAUCGACUAAUAUGCUCAGGAGGUAUUGAGCUAAUCAGUUGGCCAUUUAUAACUAAAUUCUGCACAAAGACAUAGACGAACACAUAAUCACGUGUUUACAAAAUUUAAUGUUUGUUGGUACCUCAACAAGUGCGCUGCAUUUGAGAUGAUGACUAAUAAGCAAAUUUUGUCUAACGAACCCUUUCUAUGCAGUGAGAUUAGUCUAUACGACUCAGUUCUGUAUGUUUUGCAAUUAAAACUUGUCAAUGUAGGCAUUAUUUUGUUGCUU